rnacentral:rRNA from 1 species
GGUAAGCGUGCGUAGGCGGCUUUUUAAGUCGGAUGUGAAAUCCCCGAGCUUAACUUGGGAAUUGCAUUCGAUACUGGGAAGCUAGAGUAUGGGAGAGGAUGGUAGAAUUCCAGGUGUAGCGGUGAAAUGCGUAGAGAUCUGGAGGAAUACCGAUGGCGAAGGCAGCCAUCUGGCCUAAUACUGACGCUGAGGUACGAAAGCAUGGGGAGCAAACAGGAUUAGAUACCCUGGUAGUCCAUGCCGUAAACGAUGUCUACUAGCCGUUGGGGCCUUUGAGGCUUUAGUGGCGCAGCUAACGCGAUAAGUAGACCGCCUGGGGAGUACGGUCGCAAGACUAAAACUCAAAUGAAUUGACGGGGGCCCGCACAAGCGGUGGAGCAUGUGGUUUAAUUCGAUGCAACGCGAAGAACCUUACCUGGUCUUGACAUAGUAAGAACUUUCCAGAGAUGGAUUGGUGCCUUCGGGAACUUACAUACAGGUGCUGCAUGGCUGUCGUCAGCUCGUGUCGUGAGAUGUUGGGUUAAGUCCCGCAACGAGCGCAACCCUUUUCCUUAUUUGCCAGCACUUCGGGUGGGAACUUUAAGGAUACUGCCAGUGACAAACUGGAGGAAGGCGGGGACGACGUCAAGUCAUCAUGGCCCUUACGACCAGGGCUACACACGUGCUACAAUGGUCGGUACAAAAGGGUUGCUACCUAGCGAUAGGAUGCUAAUCUCAAAAAGCCGAUCGUAGUCCGGAUUGGGAGUCUGCAACUCGACUCCAUGAAAGUCGGAAUCGCUAGUAAUCGCGGAUCAGAAUUGCCGCGGUGAAUACGUUCCCCGGGCCUUUGUACACACCGCCCGUCACACCCAUGGGGAGUUUUGUUUGCACCAGAAGGUAGGGUAGUCUUAACCCGUUAAGGAGGGACGCUUACCACCGGUUGUGACCCGAUGACUGGGGUGAAGUUCGUUAACUAGGUUAGCCACA